AGAGUUUGAUCAUGGCUCAGAACGAACGCUGGCGGCAGGCCUAACACAUGCAAGUCGAACGCGCGUAGCAAUACGCGAGUGGCGCACGGGUGAGUAACACGUGGGAACCAACCCUGAGGUUCGGAAUAACCGCGGGAAACUGCGGCUAAUACCGGAUAUCCCCUACGGGGGAAAGAUUUAUCGCCUUGGGACGGGCCCGCGUCCGAUUAGCUAGUUGGUGAGGUAAUGGCUCACCAAGGCUCCGAUCGGUAGCUGGUCUGAGAGGACGACCAGCCACACUGGAACUGAGACACGGUCCAGACUCCUACGGGAGGCAGCAGUGGGGAAUAUUGGGCAAUGGAGGCAACUCUGACCCAGCCAUGCCGCGUGGGUGACGAAGGUCUUCGGAUUGUAAAGCCCUUUCGGCGGGGACGAUGAUGACGGUACCC
rnacentral:rRNA from 1 species